rnacentral:rRNA from 1 species
AUUGAACGCUGGCGGCAUGCUUUACACAUGCAAGUCGAACGGCAGCACGGACUUCGGUCUGGUGGCGAGUGGCGAACGGGUGAGUAAUACAUCGGAACGUACCCAGUAAUGGGGGAUAACUAUCCGAAAGGAUAGCUAAUACCGCAUACGCCCUACGGGGGAAAGAGGGGGAUCGCAAGACCUCUUGUUAUUGGAGCGGCCGAUGGCUGAUUAGCUAGUUGGUGAGGUAAAGGCUCACCAAGGCGACGAUCAGUAGCGGGUCUUAGAGGACGAUCCGCCACACUGGAACUGAGACACGGUCCAGACUCCUACGGGAGGCAGCAGUGGGGAAUCUUGGACAAUGGGCGCAAGCCUGAUCCAGCAAUGCCGCGUGCGUGAAGAAGGCCUUCGGGUUGUAAAGCGCUUUUGUCAGGGGGCAAAUCCUUGUGGCUAAUACCCACCGGGGAUGAGAGUACCUGAAGAAUAAGGACCGGCUAACUACGUGCCAGCCGCCGCCGUAACAC